AGCGCAGGUGGUUUAUUAAGUCUGGUGUGAAAGGCAGUGGCUCAACCAUUGUAUGCAUUGGAAACUGGUAGACUUGAGUGCAGGAGAGGAGAGUGGAAUUCCAUGUGUAGCGGUGAAAUGCGUAGAUAUAUGGAGGAACACCGGUGGCGAAAGCGGCUCUCUGGCCUGUAACUGACACUGAGGCUCGAAAGCGUGGGAGCAAACA
rnacentral:rRNA from 1 species